CGGAGGUGCAAGCGUUAAUCGGAAUUACUGGGCGUAAAGCGCACGCAGGCGGUUGGAUAAGUUAGAUGUGAAAGCCCCGGGCUCAACCUGGGAAUUGCAUUUAAAACUGCCAGCUAGAGUCUUGUAGAGGGGGUAGAAUUCCAGGUGUAGCGGUGAAAUGCGUAGAGAUCUGGAGGAAUACCGGUGGCGAAGGCGGCCCCCUGGACGAAAGAACUGACGCUCAGGUGCGAAAGACGUGGGGAGGACAAACAAGGAGUU
rnacentral:rRNA from 1 species